AGGCGAUCCUGAUUGGCUGAGCGCGGAGUGCUGACCCCACCCCCUCGCCGAGGUGAAAGGGCAACCAGGAGGCCGGCUGGCUGUGGCGAUGGCGGCGUCCUUGCGCCAAGUGGUCGCGGGCAGCUGGCGGCAGCCGCAGCGACACCUGCUUGCGCUGCAGUGUGCAACACGCCAUUCAAGAUGGUGCCUUAUAACUUCACGUACAUUCUAUACAGCUGAAUAUGACCCCAAUGAGAAGACAUUUGAGAAACUCCUUAUCGCCAACAGAGGAGAGAUUGCAUGCAGAGUAAGUUAUAACUUUCAAGCAUUUAUCAU
rnacentral:lncRNA from 1 species